rnacentral:rRNA from 1 species
CUGGCGGCGUGCUUAACACAUGCAAGUCGAACGAGAAGAGAUGAGAAGCUUGCUUCUUAUCAAUUCGAGUGGCAAACGGGUGAGUAACGCGUAAGCAACCUGCCCUUCAGAUGGGGACAACAGCUGGAAACGGCUGCUAAUACCGAAUACGUUCUUUUUGUCGCAUGGCAGAGGGAAGAAAGGGAGGCUCUUCGGAGCUUUCGCUGAAGGAGGGGCUUGCGUCUGAUUAGCUAGUUGGAGGGGUAACGGCCCACCAAGGCGACGAUCAGUAGCCGGUCUGAGAGGAUGAACGGCCACAUUGGGACUGAGACACGGCCCAGACUCCUACGGGAGGCAGCAGUGGGGAAUCUUCCGCAAUGGACGAAAGUCUGACGGAGCAACGCCGCGUGAACGAUGACGGCCUUCGGGUUGUAAAGUUCUGUUAUACGGGACGAAUGGCGUAGCGGUCAAUACCCGUUACGAGUGACGGUACCGUAAGAGAAAGCCACGGCUAACUACGUG